rnacentral:rRNA from 1 species
CCUACGGGGGGCAGCAGUGGGGAAUAUUGCACAAUGGGGGAAACCCUGAUGCAGCGACGCCGCGUGAAGGAAGAAGUAUUUCGGUAUGUAAACUUCUAUCAGCAGGGAAGAAAAUGACGGUACCUGACUAAGAAGCCCCGGCUAACUACGUGCCAGCAGCCGCGGUAAUACGUAGGGGGCAAGCGUUAUCCGGAUUUACUGGGUGUAAAGGGAGCGUAGACGGCAGCGCAAGUCUGGAGUGAAAUGCCGGGGCCCAACCCCGGAACUGCUCUGGAAACUGUGAAGCUGGAGUGCAGGAGAGGUAAGCGGAAUUCCUGGUGUAGCGGUGAAAUGCGUAGAUAUCAGGAGGAACACCGGCGGCGAAGGCGGCUUACUGGACUGUAACUGACGUUGAGGCACGAAAGCGUGGGGAGCAAACAGGAUUAGAUACCCGAGUAGUC